UGAGCCACCGCUCCCGGCCACAGUAUAUGUAUUUUAAGCACCAGUUUGUUGUUUACCAGACGAACAUGAGAACAGCACAGACCCACUUCCCUCCAGACGUCCAAAUGGCUGUGUAUGUUUCAGGGACAACCAAGAUGAGACAGACUGACGCAUUUGGAGUCAAAGACUGCUCAAUGGGUUCUUUUGGGACAGAGGUAUAUCUAGUCUCUCCAUGAUAAGGAAUCUGAGCCUCCAAGAGUUGUAGUGACAUGUUCAAGCCACAUGGUUAGUGAGAAGCAGAGAAAGGACCUAAGGUCAGAGCAAUCUUAAGCAGGUCCUCUGUGGUCAUGGUUAGUGUGGUUUGCUUCCAGGCCAGACCAUUUCCUUGCUGAUGCAAGAUUCUCCAGAGCUCUCCUUUUCCCCCGGGAAGUGGUGAUUGGCUGCUCCAUCAGCCUGUGUCCUUGAGUGACUGUGCUGGGCAGAAUGCCCUGCCAGCCUGAGAGGGACCUGUGGUGUAGAACAUGAAAUAAAAACCUUUGUGGUUUUCA